rnacentral:rRNA from 1 species
AUUGAACGCUGGCGGCAGGCUUAACACAUGCAAGUCGAGCGGGGGAAGGUGCUUCGGUACUGACCUUAGCGGCGGACGGGUGAGUAAUGCUUAGGAAUCUGCCUAUUAGUGGGGGACAACAUCUCGACAGGGAUGCUAAUACCGCAUACGUCCUACGAGAGAAAGCAGGGGAUCACUUGUGACCUUGCGCUAAUAGAUGAGCAUAAGUCGGAUUAGCUAGUUGGUGGGGUAAAGACCUACCAAGGCGACGAUCUGUAGCGGGUCUGAGAGGAUGAUCCGCCACACUGGGACUGAGACACGGCCCAGACUCCUACGGGAGGCAGCAGUGGGGAAUAUUGGACAAUGGGGGGAACCCUGAUCCAGCCAUGCCGCGUGUGUGAAGAAGGCCUUAUGGUUGUAAAGCACUUUAAGCGAGGAGGAGGCUCUUUUGGUUAAUACCCAAGAUGAGUGGACGUUACUCGCAGAAUAAGCACCGGCUAACUCUGUGCCAGCCGCCGCAGUAA